GUGGGGAAUAUUGGGCAAUGGGCGAAAGCCUGACCCAGCAACGCCGCGUGAAGGAAGAAGGUCUUCGGAUCGUAAACUUCUAUCCUUGGUGAAGAUAAUGACGGUAGCCGAGAAGGAAGCCCCGGCUAACUACGUGCCAGCAGCCGCGGUAAUACGUAGGGGGCAAGCGUUGUCCGGAAUGAUUGGGCGUAAAGGGCGCGUAGGCGGCCUGGUAAGUCUGGAGUGAAAGUCCUGCUUUUAAGGUGGGAAUUGCUUUGGAUACUGUCGGGCUUGAGUGCAGGAGAGGUAAGUGGAAGUCCCGGUGUAGCGGUGAAAUGCGUAGAGAUCGGGAGGAACACCAGUGGCGAAGGCGACUUACUGGACUGUAACUGACGCUGAGGCGCGAAAGUGUGGGGAGCAAACAGGAUUAGAAACCCUGGUAGUCC
rnacentral:rRNA from 1 species